GGCGAGAUGGCCGAGCGGUCUAAGGCGCCAGACUAAGGUGGUUCAUCAGUUGAAAUCUGGUCCGAAAGGGCGUGGGUUCGAAUCCCACUCUCGUCA